AAAGAAUAUAUAGAAAUCAAGGAAAUGCAAUAUAGAAUCGGCCGACGCCGCCGCUUUUGCUGCGUGCUGUAAUCCCAAUUGGACACCCAAUUAGAGGCACACUCGUCCGCCUAGCAGUGUGUGUGUGCGUGUGUCUGUGUGAA
ensembl:ncRNA sncRNA:641 small non-coding RNA 641